CUUAUUAGAAACAGGGAAACAUAUAAAAGGUAACUAGCAUUAGUGGAUAUAUAUCUUAUCUGUCAAAUACUUGCAGACUGAAAAAAAAAUAAUUGCUCUCAGGGAGUAAAUCUAAAAGUCAACCAAUGCUUUGUCUUCUAAUAAUUUUUGUGUGUAAGAAUUUAAUCCAAUCCACUAGACAGAAUACAAGUGAAAGAGGACUAUCGAGAAUACAGGACAGUCUGAAUGAAACACUGUCUUUUUGCUCCACGCCUCCUUUCCCCAGCUCAGCAGAGAAGCAGCAGCAGAUCUAACUCCCUCACAUUCUUUAGGCACGACAGAACUUGUUCCAGAAGUCCAGCCCAUCUCCUCUCCAGGAAAACCCUCCUCGCUUCCUCUCUUGAUGCCGAGAUAAAAAACUGCUGGCACAGAAGCAGAGCCAAGCAAGGUUUUGGCAUAGGAAAUGGCUCUCCUACCACUGCCAGAACAAGGGAAUGCUGGAAAGAAGAUCCCCGGAGAGGGUUUAACUUCACUUUGCGCCAUGUAAGCAGCACAACGUGAGACUGAAGAAGAACAGAUCCUGUCUCAAAACUGUUUGGAGAUCAUAGAAAUGUAGAAAGCCUAUGCUUGAAUUUUAUAUAUACCAACGGAAUAAAAUGUAUUUCCUGCAAGUAUCAAGCAGUUUAGUGGAGCUUCAGAAUUAACAAAUAUUAUUUACACCCACUUUCUGGCCUGCUACAGUAUCAGGGUAAACAAAAUUCAAGUAUAUACUUUCUCCUUCGCAGCUAUAGACAGAAAUUCUAGUGUGCUGGGUUUUGAUGCCAAUAAAAAUUGUUUGCCUAAGGACAAACUUUGGAGGAAUGGAAAUUUUCCAGUAUCUCCUGAUUCUUGUCAGGCUGGCUGUACCACAGAAAUUACUGUUCUUGAGACAUUUCUGUGUUUCUUUCACCAAAAUGUAGGGAAUUCAAAACUUUAAAAAAAAAAAAAAAAAAAGCUUUAAAAUAGGAAUGAAACAUUUCCGGAUAUCCCAGGUAUUUGUCAAAUUUCUGGACAAGAUUUGGGGUUUGUCUGUCUUCGAGUUUAAGCUUUGGGUUUCUCCAGAUUUGUAGACACUAUCAUUAAUACUUAAUCACAGCACAGAGCAGCCCUUUUGCUUACUUCUGCUAGGUUUUUUGGGUGCUUUGCCUGCUGCAAGUGAAAACAUAAAAAUGUAAAGAACCAGAAACGAAUGUGGAAAAAAUCUCUGAAAAUAAAACUAACACUAAUUUAAUGUUUUAAAUUGUUAAAAAUAAGACACAUGUAAAUGAUUUUUUGUGUUUGUUUAAGGAAGUUCUGUUUAAUGUUAAUUUAGUGAAAUUCAUCUGUUGCAUAAACUUCUAGGAAUUAUUUGAAGAUUCUUAGGAAGAUUAAUUGGUCUUGUUUUGGAAUGGUACUUGCUACUUUUUGAAAUAAAGUAGAAGAAAAUAAGAAUACAUAAGAAUUUGAAUCCUUCUCAACUGACGUAAGAAAACACAAAAUAUAAUGCAAAAUUUUUGGCUGAUUUGACUGAAAAAAAAGGUUUAAUCCUAUACAGCUGUGCUGAAUUCAAAGUAACGUGGUUCCUGAGUACCUUUGUGCACAACUCCGAGCCCACGGCAACGUGACUCAGUGAUUACAGAACACUCCUGUCGUGUUCAGGAUAUUAGAUUCUGGACAAGGCUAUGCUCUCAUGUAGAGAUUUAAGAAAAGGGGAGAAUUGCAUGUUAAAUUAGAGGUCACUGUCGGCUUCCUUGUCUUGCACUGCAAAUGCUGCAAAAAAUAACAAAGUAGCAAAUGGCAAAUACAUACCUUUGCAAUA